rnacentral:rRNA from 1 species
CCUACGGGUGGCAGCAGUAGGGAAUCUUCCACAAUGGGCGAAAGCCUGAUGGAGCAACGCCGCGUGGGUGAAGAAGGUCUUCGGAUCGUAAAACCCUGUUGUUAGAGAAGAAAGUGCGUGAGAGUAACUGUUCACGUUUCGACGGUAUCUAACCAGAAAGCCACGGCUAAAUACGUGCCAGCAGCCGCGGUAAUACGUAGGUGGCAAGCGUUAUCCGGAUUUAUUGGGCGUAAAGGGAACGAAGGCGGUCUUUUAAGUCUGAUGGGAAAGCCUUGGGCUUAACCGGAGUAGUGCAUUGGAAACUGGGAGACUUGAGUGCAGAAGAGGAGAGUGGAACUCCAUGUGUAGCGGUGAAAUGCGUAGAUAUAUGGAGGAACACCAGUGGCGAAAGCGGCUCUCUGGUCUGUAACUGACGCUGAGGUGCGAAAGCGUGGGUAGCGAACAGGAUUAGAUACCCCAGUAGUC